rnacentral:misc_RNA from 1 species
GAAAUGCGAUAAGUAGUGUGAAUUGCAGAAUUCAGUGAAUCAUCGAAUCUUUGAACGCACAUUGCGCCCCUUGGUAUUCCAUGGGGCAUGCCUGUUCGAGCGUCAUUUGUACCUUCAAGCUCUGCUUGGUGUUGGGUGUUUGUCUCGCCUCUGCGCGUAGACUCGCCUCAAAACAAUUGGCAGCCGGCGUAUUGAUUUCGGAGCGCAGUACAUCUCGCGCUUUGCACUCAUAACGACGACGUCCAAAAGUACAUUUUUACACUCUUGACCUCGGAUCAGGUAGGGAUACCCGCUGAACUUAAGC